GACGAACGCUGGCGGCGUGCUUAACACAUGCAAGUCGAACGGAAAGGCCCUGCUUUUGUGGGGUGCUCGAGUGGCGAACGGGUGAGUAACACGUGUGUAACCUGCCCUUGACUUUGGGAUAACUUCAGGAAACUGGGGCUAAUAUCGGAUAGGAGCUCCUGCUGCAUGGUGGGGGUUGGAAAGUUUCGGCGGUUGGGGAUGGACUCGCGGCUUAUCAGCUUGUUGGUGGGGUAGUGGCUUACCAAGGCUUUGACGGGUAGCCGGCCUGAGAGGGUGACCGGCCACAUUGGGACUGGGAUACGGCCCAGACUCCUACGGGAGGCAGCAGUGGGGAAUAUUGCACAAUGGGCGGAAGCCUGAUGCAGCAACGCCGCGUGCGGGAUGACGGCCUUCGGGUUGUAAACCGCUUUCGCCUGUGACGAAGCGUGAGUGACGGUAAUGGGUAAAGAAGCACCGGCUAACUACGUG
rnacentral:rRNA from 1 species